GUGGACGCCAGUCUGCGUGGAGCCAACCUUGAAAUACCACCCUUUAAUGUUUGAUGUUCUAACGUGGACCCGUAAUCCGGGUUGCGGACAGUGUCUGGUGGGUAGUUUGACUGGGGCGGUCUCCUCCUAAAGAGUAACGGAGGAGCACGAAGGUUGGCUAAUCCUGGUCGGACAUCAGGAGGUUAGUGCAAUGGCAUAAGCCAGCUUGACUGCGAGCGUGACGGCGCGAGCAGGUGCGAAAGCAGGUCAUAGUGAUCCGGUGGUUCUGAAUGGAAGGGCCAUCGCUCAACGGAUAAAAGGUACUCCGGGGAUAACAGGCUGAUACCGCCCAAGAGUUCAUAUCGACGGCGGUGUUUGGCACCUCGAUGUCGGCUCAUCACAUCCUGGGGCUGAAGUAGGUCCCAAGGGUAUGGCUGUUCGCCAUUUAAAGUGGUACGCGAGCUGGGUUUAGAACGUCGUGAGACAGUUCGGUCCCUAUCUGCCGUGGGCGCUGGAGAACUGAGGGGGGCUGCUCCUAGUACGAGAGGACCGGAGUGGACGCAUCACUGGUGUUCGGGUUGUCAUGCCAAUGGCACUGCCCGGUAGCUAAAUGCGGAAGAGAUAAGUGCUGAAAGCAUCUAAGCACGAAACUUGCCCCGAGAUGAGUUCUCCCUGAGACUUAGAGUCUCCUGAAGGAACGUUGAAGACGACGACGUUGAUAGGCCGGGUGUGUAAGCGCAGCGAUGCGUUGAGCUAACCGG
rnacentral:rRNA from 1 species